UCAAUUAUAUACUGUUUCCUAUCUCUAAAUUACCUUUCUUGUUUUGAUCUCUUAAAGCUUCUUCCUUUUUGGUUUUGACUUGAUAGAGAGCUACUGCGGUUGAAGUCUGGGGUUUAUACUUUCUCUGAUUAUGCUUGGUUUGUUGCUCUGAGGGGUUUGUUUCCCAGCUGAUGUUUCCUAAUCAAGUCAGUUGUACAUAUCACACGUAUAGAUCAAAUGCCAUCAUUAAAAAUGAAGACCCAAUCAAGCACGGCCUGUUUAAGAGAGAAAAAUGGUCUCCGUGUAUGCCAAAAAUCAAGCAUAAUUUCCAAAAAAGCAUGCUCUCAUGUCAGAAUUCCUGAUCAUACCGCAGAUCUCGAUGCUUGCUUACAAAGUUGUCAGGAUGUAUGUACGAGUAUCCAAGUCUCUACUGAGGACAUUGCGUGCGAUGAAGCAGUUGACCCUCAGGAAUUUCUAGAUGAUGAAAAAUCUCAGUCUCUGAAUCAAUCUUGUGAUUCUACAACCGUGGGACAAAUGGAGUCUAGCCAUGCUUUACCACCACGACUGGAGACUAUUUUUUCUCCUUUUUUGGAGUCCAUUGAAGUUCGUAGUGAAGCAAAUAAGGACAGUGAUGCAGCAGUAUGUAGUGACAAGUAUCCCGACAUUUCUUGGUUAGAAGCUGAUGAAAGCGAUGAUAACAGAAGUUCAGGUGACUAUCAAUAUUGUGAUGUGUCAGAGUUCUACAUUUCUGACAUGAUCGUGUCAGACUUUACCUUUGGCGGAACUGCAUUCGAUGAUACUAGCGAAUCAAAUUGCUUUGCUAAUUACGAGCAUCCAGAGCCGAACAUGCUGUUAGGUGUUGCUGAGCAAUUUUGUGUUCUACCUUUACUAGAGGACUCUAUUAGAAGCAGUAGUGCCAGUGAUGAGAAAUCAGAUGAACAAGCAAUGAUGGAUCCAAAUGACUCUAGCUUGUACUUAGCAAUCAAUCAGAUAAGAUCGUGUGACCAGGAGUCUGCUGUUAACUCUUCUGACUCAGAUCAGGCUGAGUGUUUUGAUCCACAGAUGUUUAUAAAAAAUUUGCCUGAAUUAUCAGAUGUGGUGUCCAAUUUCCAAUCCAAUUCAUUGCCCAAGGAAACUUCAAGAAGGAAGCUUAUAACUCUAGUACUUGAUUUGGAUGAAACACUUGUCCAUUCUACAUUGGAACCUUGUGAAGAUGCAGACUUCACCUUCACUGUUUUUUUCAACAUGAAAGAGCACACUGUGUAUGUCAGAAAGCGGCCUCACCUCAAAAUAUUCUUAGAGCGAGUUGCUGAGAUGUUUGAAGUUAUUAUUUUUACUGCCAGCCAAAGCAUAUAUGCAGAACAGCUCCUUGAUAUUCUAGAUCCAGAUGGAAAUAUCCUCUCUCGGCGUGUUUAUCGUGAAUCGUGCAUCUUCUCUGAUGGCAGUUACACUAAAGAUUUGACAGUUUUAGAUAUUGAUCUUGCAAAAGUUGCUAUAAUUGAUAAUUCUCCUCAGGUGUUCCGCUUGCAAGUGAAUAAUGGGAUUCCCAUAAAGAGUUGGUUUGAUGAUCCAUCGGACUGUGCACUAAUUUCAUUACUUCCUUUCUUAGAGACCCUUGUAGAUGCAGAUGAUGUUCGCCCUAUAAUUGCCAAGAAAUUUGGUAAUGAGGCAUAAGAGCCCUUGCCAUUCUCAUUUUCUUGAGUAUAGCAGCUCCUUAUCCCUUACCUAUUUUUAGCAAAAUUUGGCCUCUAAUCUAGCAUAAUAUAAGUUUUUUUCUUCUUCUUAGAGCUCUCUAGAUAUUAAUUAUAUGAGCUAUUAUUUGCGUUGCUUUUAAGUUACUCUAUUGCUGCUUUCUCUUGUCGUCUCAGCUGGGACCUCUCCGGAAUCCUCUCUCUAAGUGUUGUUCAAAGAGUUUCUUGAAUACACCAGUGAACCUCUUGAAAGAUCUUUCCAUGAUUUAAUGAGCUCAAGUUACCCUUGCAUACAAGGUAUGUACAUAUGUAUGUUAUGUAUGUAUGUAUGUAAAGAGCAUUAUGAAAUCACAUUGAGAUUGAUGAACUUUGGUUAUCAUGCUUAAAAUGUUGAUGGUCUAAUUGAACUUAGAAGUACAUACCAUUUAUGUGCUACAAGUUCUCUUUUUGACUUUAGCAAAGAACAUGGCUGUGCUAUAAUUGUUAUUGGGAUAGUGAUAAAUAUCACUUGAAUUUUUGGUUGAAAUCACAUCUUAUUGUUGAAAAUAAGGCCAAUAAAGGGGGCAAAAGGAAAGCUUAGUUUUCAUUGAAUGUAGGAAAAUUUUCCUCAAGCCUACAUUAUGUAUUUCUCUAUUUGGCAUAACUGUAUUACUAUAUGCAUGCAUAUUAUAUAUUUGUAGCACCAAGUGCUGCAAAGAUGUGGUUCUUGUUUGUUGGAUUUUAAUCCUAUUUUGUUAUAGUGAAAUUAUUAUUCUUGUUUUCCUUCUGUUUUGGAAAUGAGAAUACAGAAGAUAUAAAAUGACUAUGCUAUGCCUUAAAUGAAAUCACACUUCUUUAUGGGAAGUUAAAUUAGUAGUGCAUGAGAAAGUUUGUUUUGAGGAAAAUUCCAGUUUGGUGAUAUUCUGGGAGUUGAUGUUUGGUGUAGUCUUCUGACCAUAGAUCGGGUUAUCUACUUCUCUUUUGCAGGUAUACCUGUGAGGUAAUUUGUCUUAGUUUAUGUAUCAAAGCAUUUUUUCCUUUGACUUCUAGAUUCAUGAGUGUGAUUUUUGGUUUCAGUUCAGCAAAAUUUAUUUCUCUUUUUAAAUUUGCUGUUAUCUCACUUUUAAGAGUCCUCGUUUACUAUCUCCGCAGAAAUUUUCUUCCCAUUUCAUCUCUUAGAAUUCUAAAUUCCGAGCAAACAUGAUUUUGCUUCGAUCAAAACACGCUUUCCCUUUUUCCAUCCCCAUGUUGAGAUACGAAUUAAUGUGUAUCGAAUUUUUAGUCUGCUAUGUUGGUUUAUUAAUUCUGUGUGUGUGUGUGUGUAUACUUGUAUGCACUAUACUACUGUGUUGCAGGACAUUACACUGCUAAGUUAGUCCCUUGAUGAUGUUUCAAGGCUAUCGGUAAAAUCGACUUAAACAUCAGGAUUGCUCUCAGGGCUACCUGUUCAUUCGAUUUCAAGUUGGUAAAUAAUUCACAAUAUGAUGAAACAAGUUUUUGAGAAAGAAAAAAAAAAAAACAAUGGCACUACUGCUCUGUAAACAAGUGUGCCUUUGAAUAAAUAUUCUCUAUGCUGUGAUUCUGAAAGUAGUUUCUUUAUGAGAUUAAAAGCUGGUGAUAGACAUGCAUUGAUGGACCAAAUUGUCAAAACUAAGAGUUGUGUUAUUUGCUCUGAUUAUGAAUACAAAAAAAUGACUUGAAUUUCAUAUCUUGAUACCUGACCAAUUAAGGGAGACAGGUGAUGGCUUAUGGGAUGUACCAUUUGCCAUCCCUGCUUGACAUUAUCUAAAAUUUACAAUUUUGCGCGCAUUGUCUGCAGGUCGUGUGCCGAGACCAGUAAUAGCUCUUCUGCUAAUGCCACAUUAGUAGGUACGCAGAGUUUUAUUGCUGCUACCAUUCUUAGAAUUAGAUGUGUAUAGGUAUAGUUUUUUGAUGUAGUGAGGAAUUUUCAGAAACAAAUUGGUUAACUACUGAAUUCUCAAGUAAAUAAAGAAAGAAGUCAGUUUACAUGUAAUGAUCUCAUCUCUUUUUGGACCAUUGUUGCUGUGUAUUUACUAUUACUGCCAUCUUUUUCUUUCUUUCUUUCAAGUAUCAUCUCUGUUUUGUAAUCUUGACCACCAUCUUGAGUUACUUGAUGCUAAAUUAGUGUAUGUAUUACUGGUGUUUAUGAUUAAAGACAACUGGGUUUUAGCUUU